rnacentral:rRNA from 1 species
AGUGGCGCACGGGUGCGUAACGCGUGGGAAUCUGCCCUUAGGUACGGAAUAACUCAGGGAAACUUGUGCUAAUACCGUACGAUGUCGAGAGACCAAAGAUUUAUCGCCUAGGGAUGAGCCUGCGUAGGAUUAGCUAGUUGGUGGGGUAAAGGCCUACCAAGGCUACGAUCCUUAGCUGGUCUGAGAGGAUGAUCAGCCACACUGGGACUGAGACACGGCCCAGACUCCUACGGGAGGCAGCAGUGGGGAAUAUUGGACAAUGGGCGAAAGCCUGAUCCAGCAAUGCCGCGUGAGUGAAGAAGGCCUUCGGGUUGUAAAGCUCUUUUACCCGGGAAGAUAAUGACUGUACCGGGAGAAUAAGCCCCGGCUAACUCCGUGCCAGCAGCCGCGGUAAUACGGAGGGGGCUAGCGUUGUUCGGAAUUACUGGGCGUAAAGCGUACGUAGGCGGCUUUUUAAGUCAGAGGUGAAAGCCCACGACUCAAUCGUGGAACUGCCUUUGAGACUGGAUCGCUUGAAGAUGGGAGAGGUUAGUGGAAUUCCGAGUGUAGAGGUGAAAUUCGUAGAUAUUCGGAAGAACACCAGUGGCGAAGCGGCUAACUGGACCAUUCUUGACGCUGAGGUACGAAAGCGUGGGGAGCAAACAGGAUUAGAAUACCUGUAGUCCACGUCGA